rnacentral:miRNA from 1 species
UGAGGCCCUUGGGGCACAGUGG